ensembl:lncRNA
AUGGCAUUGCAAAGGAAACCGCAGCGGAUGCAGGGGAGUAGUUUAGCAGUUUUAUAGCUGUCUAUAUAUAUCUAGUCUCUAAUGUGUAUAUUUACAUUUCAAGGAAAAUACAUCAUGAUUACAGUCAUACUGAUAUUGGUGUGACGCUACCAAACUGUGCUGGAGCAAGGUGAUGCUUUUUUUUUUUCAAGUGAGGAAAUAUAUUCACGUUUAGCAAGUGUGGUUAAAUAUUCAAGGCAUUAAAGAUAAAGUGAGUGGUCAAAGCUGUCAGAGCUAAAUUCAGCCAGCAAAAAAGCGUCCUUUGGCGCUGAAAAUCAUUUAAUAUAUAAAACAAGUUUUAUUUGCGCCUGUUUUUUUUUUAUUUUUUUAGCUCUGAUAGGAGCGUUAAUUUCGGGUGGGUUGCUCUCCCAGUUGUUUUGGUUGUGUCCUGUAGAGCUUCAGACUACACACUAUGAAUACAUAAAGCUAAUCUCUAUAUGUUUCCAGUUCUUCAUAAUAAUAUUCGUCGGCCCAUAAAGAAACAAGGAAACGUGUCUUUUCUCAGGCGCAAACCGAGCGUUGGAUGCAAUUGCGCAAUUGGCGCAGUCGGUAAUUUUGUGUUAUUUUGUUCAUCAUUCGGGUCAGUCGUCAAACGCAUCCAGCAAACGGUUGUCUCACCCUCCAAAUUCUACAGAGUCUCCAUCAGUUCCAGACAUAACUCUUGUCCCAGCAUAUAAAACGUAUCGAUUUUUCUGGAGUUGGCUCCAGAUUAUAAAAACUGCUCCUACACUUUAUUAUUUUUGUUAGUAGGUUACCUUACUUGUUCAUUUGCGAUCACACGCAGAACCUUCCACUCUCAUCGGCGCAUUUUUGCGGUUGAGUCUUAGUAAAUCUGUCAUUUGAAGUGUUUAUUGCGUCAAGAAGUGGAUUCUUUCAUAAAGUAAGGCAUUUCUAUGUUGCUCAGUCACUGGUGUUAUGGUACUCUAUCAAUCUGUCAUCAGAACUUUUGAUCCUCUGUUAAAAUUACUUCGCUAUUUAUAGAGACUCAGCAUUCACUGUUUGUAUUUUCAAUGAAAAACGCUCCUGCUUAAGUGGACA